UACGUAGGGUGCUAGCGUUGUCCGGAUUUACUGGGCGUAAAGGGCGCGUAGGCGGCCACCGCAAGUCACUUGUGAAAUCUCCGGGCUUAACCCGGAAAGGUCAACUGAUACUGCGGGGCUAGAGUGCAGAAGGGGCAACUGGAAUUCUCGGUGUAGCGGUGAAAUGCGUAGAUAUCGAGAGGAACACCUGCGGCGAAGGCGGGUUGCUGGGCUGACACUGACGCUGAGGCGCGAAAGCCAGGGGAGCGAACGGG
rnacentral:rRNA from 1 species